rnacentral:lncRNA from 10 species
GAAGGAAAGGCAGAAAGGCUGAGGCCCUGAGGCUGGCGAUAGUUUGUUAGGCGGCUCCCUAAACAGACUAAGGCGUCCACUCUGCACCGGAGCUUCUCAAGCGAGGCCCCCGAACAGCAGCCUCAACAUCACCUGGGAUCUCGUCAGAAAUGCAAAUUCUUCCCUCACCCCAAGUCAGCUAAAAUAGAAAUGCUAUUUCUGAGCACAAGCAACUCCAUGAACCCUAUCCUGGUUUCUCAAUAACUCCGACCACUAGAAGGAGACACGGCCAAUUUCAGAGCUGGGAUGAGGAACCUUCAACUGGGAAAAACAAGUUAACUGAUAUCAAAUACAACAAUAUAAAAACAAUUGAAUUCUGGUUAAAAAAAGAAGAGCUACAAAAGAUAUUUUGAUUAAGCAAUGAAAAAUUAAAAUAUGGACCGGAU